GCUUGCAGCUUCCUCACUACUGCAUAUCAUACCAUCAAGAAUAGUUCAUACCAGCCAUCAAAAACAGCUUCCUCCCUUGUACAUGGUUCUCAUUGCCAUGUCUAGCUCAACCCAUCCCAUGUCAAGCUCCAGCUCCCCCCUUGUUUCUCUUGAGGAGCAGCCACCACUUCCACUAAUGAUAUGCCCUUUCUGCAACAAUGGGAUGGUUCAGUGGUGGGUCUCCCGCACAGCAAACAAUCCAGACAAGCACUUCUACAAGUGCGAGCACGAGUGGACUCGCAAAUGCAACUUUUGGAAAUGAGAGGAGAACUACAUCAACGUCAUACGUGCCAAGUGGCCGAGGCUGUUCACCGUCCCUUCCCGUGAAGACAGGAAAUUACACCGCAUCAUCAUCGCUCUCCUCCUAGUCAAUCUGCUCGCUCUGUUCUUAGUAUGCUGCAAGGUCGCUUGAAGCCGCCAGGACCUCUCCCGACUCCUGCCUGUCCUUCAAGUUCAAGCCAUUUUUUAUUGAAUAAAUAUGUUUAUCUGUAUUGUCUGUAACCAGUUGUCUUCCACUGGCAAAUUCUGUUUUUAUAUUUAUCCACCCUCUGAUUAGAUGUUGUAAUCAUGUAUCACAACUAGUACCCCAUUCAUAAAUUCGAAAUCAGAUGUAUGAUAUAUUUAUUUGUCAUUGUCCACCUUAUCCA